UUCUUUCUUUCUAAAUUUUUAAUAUUAUUUAUUAUGUGUACCGCUAUGAUGUUUCCAAUCAGAAUAAAUUUUUAAAAUUUGUUCUGCGUUAUUUUUUUGUACAGCUUUCGUGUUUUAUUCUUUUGUACAGCUUUGCACUAUUCCCUAACAGCUAACAGCUCCAGCUAACCGCUCCAGCUAACAGCUCCAGCUAACCGCUCCAGCUAACAGCU
rnacentral:lncRNA from 1 species